GACGAACGCUGGCGGCGUGCCUAAUACAUGCAAGUUGAGCGAUGAAGAUUGGUGCUUGCCCCAAUUUGAAGAGCAGCGAACGGGUGAGUAACGCGUGGGGAAUCUGCCUUUGAGCGGGGGACAACAUUUGGAAACGAAUGCUAAUACCGCAUAACAACUUUAAACAUAAGUUUUAAGUUUGAAAGAUGCAAUUGCAUCACUCAAAGAUGAUCCCGCGUUGUAUUAGCUAGUUGGUGAGGUAAAGGCUCACCAAGGCGAUGAUACAUAGCCGACCUGAGAGGGUGAUCGGCCACAUUGGGACUGAGACACGGCCCAAACUCCUACGGGAGGCAGCAGCAGGGAAUCUUCGGCAAUGGACGAAAGUCUGACCGAGCAACGCCGCGUGAGGGAAGAAGGGUUUCGGAUCGUAAAACUCUGUUGGUAGAGAAGAACGUUGGUGAGAGUGGAAAGCUCAUCAAGUGACGGUAACUACCCAGAAAGGGACGGCUAACUACGUG
rnacentral:rRNA from 1 species